rnacentral:rRNA from 1 species
AUUAACGCCUAGCGGCAGGCCUAACACAUGCAAGUCGAGGGGUAGAGUGCUUCGGCACUUGAGACCGGCGUACGGGUGCGUAACGCGUGUACAAUCUACCUUUUGCUAAGGGAUAGCCCGAAGAAAUUUGGAUUAAUACCUUAUAGUAUUAUUUGGUGGCAUCAUUAAAUAAUUAAAGCUACGGUGGCAAAAGAUGAGUACGCGUCCCAUUAGCUAGUUGGAGUGGUAACGGCACACCAAGGCUACGAUGGGUAGGGGUUCUGAGAGGGAUGUCCCCCACACUGGUACUGAGACACGGACCAGACUCCUACGGGAGGCAGCAGUGAGGAAUAUUGGACAAUGGUCGAAAGACUGAUCCAGCCAUGCCGCGUGCAGGAUGACGGCCUUAUGGGUUGUAAACUGCUUUUGUACGGGAAGAAUAAGGUCUACGUGUAGAUUGAUGACGGUACCGUACGAAUAAGCAUCGGCUAACUCCGU